rnacentral:rRNA from 1 species
GACGAACGCUGGCGGCGUGCUUAACACAUGCAAGUCGAACGGAAAGGCCCCCACUUUUUUGGUGGGGGUGCUCGAGUGGCGAACGGGUGAGUAACACGUGGGUGAUCUGCCCUGUACUUCGGGAUAAGCUUGGGAAACUGGGUCUAAUACCGGAUAGGACCAUGGUUUAGUGUCUCAUGGUGGAAAAAUUAUUGUUUUGGUGCAGGAUGAGCUCGCGGCCUAUCAGCUUGUUGGUGGGGUAAUGGCCUACCAAGGCGUCGACGGGUAGCCGGCCUGAGAGGGUGGACGGCCACAUUGGGACUGAGAUACGGCCCAGACUCCUACGGGAGGCAGCAGUGGGGAAUAUUGCGCAAUGGGCGCAAGCCUGAUGCAGCGACGCCGCGUGGGGGAUGACGGCCUUCGGGUUGUAAACUCCUUUCGUUAGGGACGAAGCCGCACCUUUUUUGGGUGUGGUGACGGUACCUUUGUUAAGAAGCACCGGCUAACUACGUG